rnacentral:rRNA from 1 species
GCCAUCCUUGGGAUACCACCCUUGUAGUACUGGGACUCUAACCAUAGGCCAUGAAUCUGGUCUUGGGACACUGUCAGGUGGGCAGUUUGACUGGGGCGGUCGCCUCCCAAAAGGUAACGGAGGCGCUCAAAGGUUCUCUCAGUACGGUCGGAAAGCGUACGUAGAGUGUAAAGGCAAAAGAGAGCUUGAUUGCAAGACAUACAGGUCGAGCAAGGAUGAAAAUCGGACUUAGUGAUCCGGUGGUUCUGCGUGGAAGGGCCAUCGCUCAACGGAUAAAAGCUACCCUGGGGAU